AAUGAACGUUGGCGGCGUGGAUUAGGCAUGCAAGUCGCGCGCGAAACGUAGCAAUACGUGGAGAGCGGCGUAAGGGAGAGUAAUGCAUGGUUAGCUACCCUCGGGACUGGGAUAGCGGCGGGAAACUGCCGGUAAUACCAGAUGACAUCUUCGGAUCAAAUGUGUAAAUCGGCCCGAGGAGGCGACCGUGUCCUAUCAGCUAGUUGGCGGUGUAAUAGACCACCAAGGCUAAGACGGGUAUGGGGCGUGAGAGCGUGCCCCCACUCACUGGGGAUGAGACACAGCCCAGACACCUACGGGUGGCUGCAGUCGAGAAUCUUCGGCAAUGGGCGCAAGCCUGACCGAGGGACGCGGCGUGCGGGAUGAAGGCCUUCGGGUUGUAAACCGCUGUCGUAGGGGAGGAAGGCUCCGUGCAGAACGGAGUUUGACCGAUCCUAGGAGGAAGGGCCGGCUAAUCUCGUGCCAGCCGCCGCUGUAAUAC
rnacentral:rRNA from 1 species